rnacentral:tRNA from 1 species
UUAAUAGAAGCCAAAAAGAGGCUUUUCACUGUUAAUGAAAUUAAUGAUUUUUCCUAUUAAG